rfam:Brassica oleracea var. oleracea cultivar TO1000 chromosome C6, whole genome shotgun sequence
GCUACAUUUAGUGCCGCCUUUGUCUUUUCAAAGUUUUCUCCUUUUUUUGUAUGUAAGGACAUUACUGUUUUACUUGGUGGCAGAAAUCG